rnacentral:rRNA from 1 species
ACGAACGCUGGCGGCGUGCUUAACACAUGCAAGUCGAACGGAAAGGCCCUGCUUUUGUGGGGUGCUUGAGUGGCGAACGGGUGAGUAACACGUGAGUAACCUGCCCUUGACUUUGGGAUAACUUCAGGAAACUGGGGCUAAUACCGGAUAGGAGCUCCUGCUGCAUGGUGGGGGUUGGAAAGUUUCGGCGGUUGGGGAUGGACUCGCGGCUUAUCAGCUUGUUGGUGGGGUAGUGGCUUACCAAGGCUUUGACGGGUAGCCGGCCUGAGAGGGUGACCGGCCACAUUGGGACUGAGAUACGGCCCAGACUCCUACGGGAGGCAGCAGUGGGGAAUAUUGCACAAUGGGCGGAAGCCUGAUGCAGCAACGCCGCGUGCGGGAUGACGGCCUUCGGGUUGUAAACCGCUUUCGCCUGUGACGAAGCGUGAGUGACGGUAAUGGGUAAAGAAGCACCGGCUAACUACGUG